rnacentral:misc_RNA from 1 species
CUGAAUAGUAUAAUUUUACAAGCCUCUAUUAAUCACCUGCAGAUGCUAAAACCUUUCAUGGGUCUCCAUUUUUUCCUUGAAAACUAGAACCCUAUGAUCCUCUUAUCCUUUACAAAAUUUUUGUACUGAUCCUUGCAAAAUCAAUGAAUCCAUGGUAGUUUGAUGCAUUGUAGAUGAUGCUUCUUAAGUAUGAGAAAUCAAGAGAUGAUAUAACAAAAAUUUAUAGCAAAGUAAUCACUCCACAAACUCCAAAUGUAAAAUCUAGUAAUAGAAUAUCUGUGCACUCAAAGAGUACCCAAUCAGCCUCAAGCCAUGCCCAUGACAAAAGUUUCUGCUAAGAAUAGACAACUGGUUGAUAUCUGAUAUCUUGCCUUCCGCAUAGUUCACAGGCUUUCAGUGAUUCAAAAUCUACCUGGUGGUUGCCGAGACAGAGAUGCUCUCCUGUUGUGAAUGGGAUCAGGUCCAUUGGGCACUCUUCGCUUGCUCACAUAAUUGAGAUCGAAGUCCUUAUGGCUAUGAUGCCUUCCUCUUCCCAUCAAUAUCGAAUGCUUGAAAAUUUCAGUUGAUACAACUGUAGUUCUUCUUGUAAUUCUUGUAGCAUGGUUAGCCAAAAUUCCAACACAUAAGAACCAAAUAACCCCCAGAAACACAAUAGCUCCAAAUAGAGCCCUCAAAUAAACCUUUCUGCUGCUCCCCAUAUUAUUGUUCCCUCUUUGCACCAACUAUUUUUCAACACAGAAUAACUGCUCACCAAUCAGAAUGUAGACUAAUAUAGAAAUCAUGAGAACCAUGUUGGUUUUGAGAGGAUGAAUGGAGCUCUUGACAGUAGACAGAAAAAAGAAAGGAAGAGGAAGCAAAGCAGGGCAAGAAAAGUAUUUUACAUCUUCUUAACUUGGCGGGUAAGAGGUGAGCAUUUAAAAGACUGGAAGCAAAACUCUG